UCAGUCCGGAUUGGAGUCUGCAACUCGACUCCAUGAAGUCGGAAUCGCUAGUAAUCGCAGAUCAGCAUUGCUGCGGUGAAUACGUUCCCGGGCCUUGUACACACCGCCCGUCACACCAUGGGAGUUUGUUGCACCAGAAGCAGGUAGCUUAACCUUCGGGAGGGCGCUUGCCACGGUGUGGCCGAUGACUGGGGUGAAGUCGUAACAAGGUAGCCGUAUCGGAAGGUGCGGCUGGAUCACCUCCUUU
rnacentral:rRNA from 1 species